CGAGUACUCCGUUCUGAUACCAAAUUAGCACCAGCCCCUAAACUUCAUAUGGUAACUCACAUGCAUUGUGAAUAAGCUCCACGUACUUUACAAAUCACUAUUAAACAUAGUGCGUGACUCCCACAAUUAUACUGGGGCGGGAUAACCUCAUAGGUUAACCCAAGAUAAUUAUUAUACUUCCACAACACCAAUGACUUAAUUUGCAACAGCUAGGUAACUAGGCCACAGAGGUAGCUCACAAAAGUGACCAAGAGGGUGCCAGCAGUCGCGGUUAAACCUUCACUUUAAGCUAAUUUCCAACAACUCAAGGGAAAUAUAACAACCACGACUACAUCCCCUACCCAAGAGGUAAAAUUCAAAGCUAAAGGGCAUACCCACUCAAGUCCUCAUGACACCCCAACAAACCAUCCCACAAAACAGGGAUUAGAUACCCCACUAUUGCAUGGCCCAACACAAUAAAUACUAAAAACGAAAGUUUAAAACUUAAAGAAUCGUGGCGAUGUUCUAUCCCAUAUUAGGGGAUCCUGUGCCUUUAUCCGAUAAUCCACGAAAAUCUAAGCUUUAUUAGCCCGCACAGCUUGUGUAUGGCCGUUUACGCUUGCUCACCCCAAAGACACAAAAGGAAGCAAAAAGAAAUAAUAACCCGGUAAUUCAGGUGACAUACAGCCCAUAUAAAGCAGGCCAUGGGAUACAAAUAAACAACAUUACCCGAAAGUAAGAGGAAUCUCUCACCUUAAGGAGGACUUAAUAGUAAGGCCACAACAACAAUCUGACCUGAACACGACCUAGAACACGCACAAAUCGCCCGUCACUCCCGCACCAAAUCAAAGCGGGAUAAGUCGUAACACAGUUGGGGUAAUGGAAAUUGCCCCUACCA
rnacentral:ncRNA from 1 species